GACUUUUUAGUAUAAUGUUGUAUUUCUAAUUUCCAAUUAGAGGGUUUUAAGAGUUA
rnacentral:tRNA from 1 species